GGCUCACCUGUUCCCAUUCCGAACACAGAAGUUAAGCCCACCAGCGCCGAUGGUACUGCUAACGCGGGAGAGUAGGCCGCCGCCAGUU
rnacentral:rRNA from 1 species